CGUCGGCGCACCCACCGGCGUAAGCGGACUCACCGGAGGAUCGUUCACCGGCCUCAGCGGCUUCACCGGAGGAGUACCCACCGGCUUCAGCGGCUUCACCGGAGGGGCAGUCAACGGCUUCAGCGGCUUCAACGGAGGCUCACCCAUCGGGAUCACAGGAGGCGCACCCACCGUUGUAAGCGGCCUCACCGGAGGACCACCCACCGGCUUCAGCGGCUUCACAGGAGGGGCAGUCAACGGCUUCAGCGGCUUCAACGGAGGCUCACCCAUCGGGAUCACAGGAGGCGCACCCACCGUUGUAAGCGGCCUCACCGGAGGACCACCCACCGGCUUCAGCGGCUUCACCGGAGGCGUAGUCAACGGCUUCACCGGCUUCGCCGGGGGUCCAACCAGUGGCUUAAGUGGAGGUUUAACCAGACGCCUUAGGAGAGGCCUUAGGAGAGGCAUCAGAAGAGGCUUCUUCGGCGACGUUCCCGCCUUUGGCCGUUUUGGUGAUUUUGUCUCCGACAUUUUCGACUCUCCUCUCAGAGCCAGAGUGAGAACCCCACCGCAAUCUCUCGUGAAGGGAACAUACUAAAGGACAGAAGUGGAGGUCUCAUGCAUUCAACGUUUUUGAAAGAUCUGGAUACGGAUGAAUAAACUGUUUCAGGAAUUA